rfam:Salmo salar isolate Sally breed double haploid chromosome ssa17, whole genome shotgun sequence.
UGCACUCACUACUGUAAGUCACUCUGGAUAAGAGCGUCUGCUAAAUUACGUAAA